UAGGGAAUCUUUGGCAAUGGACGAAAGUCUGACCGAGCAACGCCGCGGGAGUGAAGAAGGUUUUCGGAUCGUAAAACUCUGUUGUUAGAGAAGAACAAGGACGUUAGUAACUGAACGUCCCCUGACGGUAUCUAACCAGAAAGCCACGGCUAACUACGUGCCAGCAGCCGCGGUAAUACGUAGGUGGCAAGCGUUGUCCGGAUUUAUUGGGCGUAAAGCGAGCGCAGGCGGUUUCUUAAGUCUGAUGUGAAAGCCCCCGGCUCAACCGGGGAGGGUCAUUGGAGACUGGGAGACUUGAGUGCAGAAGAGGAGAGUGGAAUUCCAUGUGUAGCGGUGAAAUGCGUAGAUAUAUGGAGGAACACCAGUGGCGAAGGCGGCUCUCUGGUCUGUAACUGACGCUGAGGCUCGAAAGCGUGGGGAGCAAACAGG
rnacentral:rRNA from 1 species